GAGUUUGAUCAUGGCUCAGGACGAACGCUGGCGGCGUGCUUAACACAUGCAAGUCGAACGGAAAGGCCCGCAUCAUUUUUUUGGUGGGGGUGCUCGAGUGGCGAACGGGUGAGUAACACGUGGGUGAUCUGCCCUGUACUUCGGGAUAAGCUUGGGAAACUGGGUCUAAUACCGGAUAGGACCAUGGUUUAGUGUCUCAUGGUGGAAAGAUUAUUGUUUUGGUGCAGGAUGAGCUCGCGGCCUAUCAGCUUGUUGGUGGGGUAAUGGCCUACCAAGGCGUCGACGGGUAGCCGGCCUGAGAGGGUGGACGGCCACAUUGGGACUGAGAUACGGCCCAGACUCCUACGGGAGGCAGCAGUGGGGAAUAUUGCACAAUGGGCGCAAGCCUGAUGCAGCGACGCCGCGUGGGGGAUGACGGCCUUCGGGUUGUAAACUCCUUUCGUUAGGGACGAGGCCGCACUUUUUUUGGGUGUGGUGACGGUACCUUUGUUAAGAAGCACCGGCUAACUACGUGCCAGCAGCCGCGGUAAUACGUAGGGUGCGAGCGUUGUCCGGAAUUACUGGGCGUAAAGAGCUCGUAGGUGGUUUGUUGCGUCGUCUGUGAAAUUCCGGGGCUUAACUUCGGGGUGGCAGGCGAUACGGGCAUAACUAGAGUGCUGUAGGGGAGACUGGAAUUCCUGGUGUAGCGGUGAAAUGCGCAGAUAUCAGGAGGAACACCGAUGGCGAAGGCAGGUCUCUGGGCAGUAACUGACGCUGAGGAGCGAAAGCAUGGGGAGCGAACAGGAUUAGAUACCCUGGUAGUCCAUGCUGUAAACGGUGGGCGUUAGGUGUGGGGACCGGUUUGGUUUCUGUGCCGUAGCUAACGCAUUAAGCGCCCCGCCUGGGGAGUACGGCCGCAAGGCUAAAACUCAAAGGAAUUGACGGGGGCCCGCACAAGCGGCGGAGCAUGUGGAUUAAUUCGAUGCAACGCGAAGAACCUUACCUGGGUUUGACAUGCACCAGACGGUUGUAGAGAUACGUACCUCCCUUUGUGGUUGGUGUGCAGGUGGUGCAUGGUUGUCGUCAGCUCGUGUCGUGAGAUGUUGGGUUAAGUCCCGCAACGAGCGCAACCCUUGUCUUAUGUUGCCAGCACGUUUGGGUGGGGACUCAUGAGAGACUGCCGGGGUUAACUCGGAGGAAGGUGGGGAUGACGUCAAAUCAUCAUGCCCUUUAUGCCCAGGGCUUCACACAUGCUACAAUGGUUAGUACAACGCGCUGCGAGCCUGUGAGGGUGAGCGAAUCGCUGAAAGCUAAUCUCAGUUCGGAUUGGGGUCUGCAACUCGACCCCAUGAAGUCGGAGUCGCUAGUAAUCGCAGAUCAGCAAUGCUGCGGUGAAUACGUUCCCGGGCCUUGCACACACCGCCCGUC
rnacentral:rRNA from 1 species